rnacentral:rRNA from 1 species
GUAGAACGGGCACUCGUAAGUGAACCUUGCGGAAGGAUCAUUAACGAGUUUCUGAAACGGGUUGUAGCUGGCCUUCCGGGGCAUGUGCACACCCUGCUCAUCCACUCUACACCUGUGCACUCACUGUAGGUUGGCGUGGGCUUCCUUCGCGGGAAGCAUUCUGCCGGCCUAUGUACACUACAAACACUAUAAAGUAACAGAAUGAAUUCGCGUCUAAAGCAUCAGAAUAAAACUUUCAGCAACGGAUCUCUUGGCUCUCGCAUCGAUGAAGAACGCAGCAAAAUGCGAUAAGUAAUGUGAAUUGCAGAAUUCAGUGAAUCAUCGAAUCUUUGAACGCACCUUGCGCUCCUUGGUAUUCCGAGGAGCAUGCCUGUUUGAGUGUCAUGGAAUUCUCAACCUAUAAAUCUUUGUGGUUUAUGGGCUUGGACUUGGAGGCUUGCCGGCCUCAAUGGUCGGCUCCUCUUGAAUGCAUUAGCUUGAUUCCGUGCGGAUCGGCUCUCAGUGUGAUAAUUGUCUACGCUGUGAACCGUGAAGCGUUUGGCGAGCUUCUAACCGUCCCGUUGGGACAAUUUACUGACAUCUGACCUCAAAUCACGUAGGACUACCCGCUGAACUUAAGCAUAUCAAAACGCGGGGAGAGAAAAGUUAUGUUGGAUCGGUGCCCAGAAACCGGGGCCACUCGGAUCCCCGUUUCGCGCAGCGGAGGCUGGCUACUGGACGAUGGCGUCAUGGUCACAGUUCCUAGCGUCACGGGCAUGAGCGAUCAAGACUCCUAGUAAUCUCGUAAUCCCCGACAACCUCUACCGUGUCAGUGUUGACGAUGAUGAUCGUGGAUGCGUAGCACUCUCACUACUAAAGGGUAGGUUCGAG